UACCAGCACCCCGAGUGGUCGGGACGUUUAUUGGGCCUAAAGCAUCCGUAGCCGGUUCUACAAGUCUUCCGUUAAAUCCACCUGCUUAACAGAUGGGCUGCGGAAGAUACUAUGGAGCUAGGAGGCGGGAGAGGCAAGCGGUACUCGAUGGGUAGGGGUAAAAUCCGUUGAUCCAUUGAAGACCACCAGUGGCGAAGGCGGCCUGCCAGAACGCGCUCGACGGUGAGGGAUGAAAGCUGGGGGAGCAAACCGG
rnacentral:rRNA from 1 species